rnacentral:pre_miRNA from 1 species
UCAAGGUCUUGUGAUGAAGACUCUAGUCAUUGGUCAUAGCAUCAUAUCCGAACUUGAAGAAAAUUCUUAAGUUUGGUUUUGAUGCUAUGACAAAUGACUAAAAAGCUUCGUACUCUUGAUAUUGA